CCAACCAAUUGAAUAAGCUCUCGUAUAAUCGUGGGGAUAUGGCCCACAAGUUUCUACCAGGCUACCGUAAAUGGCUUGACUACGAGUGAAGCACACCUCGCA
rnacentral:ncRNA from 1 species